UAACCUUGAUGGCGACCGGCGCACGGGUGAGUAACACGUAUCCAACCUGCCUCAUACUCGGGGAUAGCCUUUCGAAAGAAAGAUUAAUAUCCGAUAGCAUAUAUUUCCCGCAUGGGUUUUAUAUUAAAGAAAUUCGGUAUGAGAUGGGGAUGCGUUCCAUUAGUUUGUUGGGGGGGUAACGGCCCACCAAGGCAACGAUCAGUAGGGGUUCUGAGAGGAAGGUCCCCCACAUUGGAACUGAGACACGGUCCAA
rnacentral:rRNA from 1 species